CAGAGUCACAGAACGGCUCAGGUGUUCAUCAGGUGUUCAUCAGGUGUUCAUCAGGUGUUCAUCAGGUGUUCAUCAGGUGUUCAGGUGUUCUGUCUGUAGAGAUGAACGCUCCGGUUCUGGUUCUGCUGCUGGUCCUGGUGGUUGGACUGACAGCGAAGACUGAUGGUCACCAUGACAACGCUGCAGUGUAUCCGGAGGACGUUGCUCUGGAUCAUUUGCUGAAAGGAGAAGAUCUUCCUGAAGCUUCACCUGAUCCACCUGCACAAGAUGAAGAUGGACGUGGAUAGAAGAGAAACGUUCCUGCUUCAGAUCAAACAUGUUCUGGUUCUCUGGUGGUUCAAAAAAAGACGAAUGAGUUGGUUCAAGGAGACGGAACCUUUAUUUACUGAGAUCAUGCUGAAAAUGUUCAAUUAGUGAUGAAAUAAAACUAAACGAGAAGUGAUUUGCAU